ensembl:lncRNA
AUGGAAGCAUCUCAGAUAUUAACUGCAGAAGCAGAAGGCUCAGAUCAGAUAAAGGACAUCUGUCAAGCAAGCAAGGAUGAGGAACUUCGCAGAUCUGAUCGCCCAAGAAAUCCCACGGAGAAGAUGCUUGCAUUUCAGAGAGAGGAGGCACACAAAAAGGAGAAGCGGCUCAUGCACCUUUAUGAUCAAUGGAAGAUCCAGGCACGUAAGGCAAGAAAUCAGCUAAAGCUAGACAUUCCAGAGAGUGAAAUCGCAGCUCUCAUUGAUAUCUUAGAGAAAUACAUGAAUGAUGUUACGGACAUUUAUGUACAAGUCAGAGAUCACCUCACACCAUCCAGUGAAACGAGACGUCGUGUUGAUGCAUGUGAGGCCGUAACAAAGGACAUUAUUAAAAUUGCAUAUGAAAGAAUAUCAGGCAUAGACGAAGACUAUGAUAGUGAAGCAGUCAAAGAACGCCUUCGCGAGCUCCUUAACAGAGACUAUGCUCAUUCCAUAUAUGGAUCCACAGUUUCACCUCCAAGUCAACACACUAUAGACUCCAUUGUUGCAGUAAAAAGAGCAGAUGCUGCAGCAGAAUUAGCAGCAAAGGAAGCAGAAUAUGAGUUGUUAUUGGCGGAAGGAAAACAAAAAGAAAGGAUCCAGCUCUUAGUAGAGCAACAGAAAAGGGAUCUUGAAGCUCAAAAACAUGAACUAGAAAGACUAAGAGCUGAAAAGGAUAUAAGAGCAGCACGAGCAAGAUUGUCAAUUUACAACCAAGAAGUAAUGCAGGAGGGCAGCUUGUGCUCUGCUAACAGCAAACUAAGGAACCAGGAACAUAUGCACCCACAUCAAGCUGUGUCUCCGGCCCCAGUUCAGCAUCUCACAAGAUUUCCAGCUUCACCUCCACAGACAGAUGUGUCCCACUUAGCUCAAGCAGUACAAGACAGCAUAGCCAUGAACAGACUUCCAAUGCCAGAGCCACCUGUAUUCACCGGCGACCCAAUCCAGUUCAUUGAAUGGAAAUCUUCAUUCAUAUCCCUCAUAGAUAAAAGGAACAUAUGUUCAGCUGACAAACUGCAUUAUUUGAGAAGAUAUGUGGGAGGCCCUGCACGAAAGACACUUGAUGGUAUCUUUUACAGGGAGGAUGAUGAAGCGUAUAAGGAUGCAUGGGAUCGCCUUAAUAGCAGGUACGGUCAACCAUUCGUCUUGCAGAGAGCUUUCAGAGAAAAACUAGCUAGCUGGCCAAAGAUCCACUCAAAGGAUGCAGAACAACUCAGAGCAUUCGCCGACUUCCUACAUGCAUGUCAGCAAGCCAUGCCUCAUAUUAAAGGGCUGGACAUUCUGAAUGACUGUGAAGAGAACCAAAAGCUGGUCCAAAAGUUACCUGAGUGGGCAGCUUCAAGGUGGAACCGCAAGGUGACCCAGUUUAUGAAGGACAGACAGGAAUUUCCAGCCUUUCAGGACUUGGUCAACUUCAUGUCAUUAGAAGCAGAGAUUGCCUGUAACCCAGUAACUUCCCUCCAUGCAUUACGUUUAUCAGACUUACCUGCAGAGAAACAUCAUCUGAAAGAAAGGAAAAAUAAAUCUACUGUUCUCCAUACACAGACACUUACAGAGAAUGAGAAGAAUGUACCAUCCAAGACAAGCUUAAAGCCCCCUUGUACGUUCUGUCAUGAUAACAAACACCGCCUACAUAGUUGUCCAGAGUUUAAAGGAACGCCUCUGGAAGAGAAAAGAAAGUAUGUAAGGGAAAACAAACUCUGCUAUGGUUGUCUGAAACCAGGCCAUAAUGUUAAAGACUGCCGCCACAGACACUUAUGUGAUAUCUGUAAGGGACGACACCCAACUUGCCUUCAUGACGACAGAUAUUCCAACAUGAAUCCUGUGUUAGCCCCUAAUCAGAACACAGAUGAAGCAGCUAUGACAUUGUCUCUCAAUACAGAGACUGAGCACACAUCUACGACUACAUCCAUGAUUUUGCCAGUCUGGGUUUCCUCUUCCAACAACCCAGGAAUAGAAAGGCUUGUCUAUGCUCGACACCCAGAGUGA